UGGGGAAUUUUGGACAAUGGGUGCAAGCCUGAUCCAGCAAUGCCGCGUGCAGGAUGAAGGCCUUCGGGUUGUAAACUGCUUUUGUACGGAACGAAAAGCCUCUCUCUAAUACAGGGGGUGAUGACGGUACCGUAAGAAUAAGCACCGGCUAACUACGUGCCAGCAGCCGCGGUAAUACGUAGGGUGCAAGCGUUAAUCGGAAUUACUGGGCGUAAAGCGUGCGCAGGCGGUUUUGUAAGACAGUGGUGAAAUCCCCGGGCUCAACCUGGGAACUGCCAUUGUGACUGCAAGGCUGGAGUGCGGCAGAGGGGGAUGGAAUUCCGCGUGUAGCAGUGAAAUGCGUAGAUAUGCGGAGGAACACCGAUGGCGAAGGCAAUCCCCUGGGCCUGCACUGACGCUCAUGCACGAAAGCGUGGGGAGCAAACAGGAUUAGAUACCCUGGUAGUCCACGCCCUAAACGAUGUCAACUGGUUGUUGGGGAUUUAUUUCUUCAGUAACGAAGCUAACGCGUAA
rnacentral:rRNA from 1 species